rnacentral:rRNA from 1 species
UUGGUCCUGGGUCCAAAAGCACGGUGGGGGGAGGGCCACCAACUGGCAGGCCAGAGGCAACGGGCCCCUUCCCCUGACGACGAGAGUGGGAACGGGUGAAAUGCGUCGGAAUCUGCCUCUUUGUGGGGAUAACAACGGGAAACUUACGCUGAUACCGCCUACUACCGACGGGUGUCGACGUCGGACCUUCGGGCCUCACGGGGAAAGAUGAGCCGACUCCGGAUUAACUAGAAGGUGCGGCGGAUUCCACCAAGGCGACGAUCCGUAUUACCCUGAGACGAUGAUCAGCCACACUGGAACUGAGACACGGUCCAGACUCCUACGACAGGCGGGUCAGACUCCUAUUGGACAAUGGGCGCAAGACUGAUCCAGCCAUGCCGAAAGUGUGACCAAGGCCUUCCGGUUGAAAGAUGCUUUUGCUCGGAAUGAAAUCUUUCCAGGAAUGACCUCAAUGGGAUGAAGCUACCAUCUUCUAUGAUGACGGCUAAUUUGUGCCAGCAGCCUAACUCCGUACCCAAGCAGUGCGCGGCGUUACUCGAGAAUUACUGGCGUUAUCCGCGAGUUAUAGGUGGUUAAAGGGUGUCGUGAUGCGGACUGCCUGGUCAGCAACCUGAAUAAUGGUGAUUUGAUACAUGCGCGACCUACUAGUGAUACUAGAGGGGCUGCGAAUAUUAUCUUGGAAGUGGCAGGGAAUAUGCACUAGAUAGUCGGGUGAAGAUGCAUACGAUGGUCGAAGUACGAACCUCUCGUGUUGCCCAAACACUGGACUCAUGUAGGCUCGGUAUUGGAUGGCUGAUGCAACGAGAGAUUAGGAUGCCUCUGAAUCAGGCCAUUAGCAUCUCACCUGGAUAGCUNCACUGNCCUGANAGCGGAUGCAUACNCUGCGCAACGUUUAGUCAGUACUAGNNCAUGAACCAGCCNNCAUUGAGUCGNCAGCCGNUGAGAGUUUAUNGCNAUCGUCGAGGAACGUNACNACCUCGCACAAGGAA